GACGAACGCUGGCGGCGUGCCUAAUACAUGCAAGUCGAACGCUUUUUCUUUCACCGGAGCUUGCUCCACCGAAAGAAAAGGAGUGGCGAACGGGUGAGUAACACGUGGGUAACCUGCCCAUCAGAAGGGGAUAACACUUGGAAACAGGUGCUAAUACCGUAUAACAAUCGAAACCGCAUGGUUUCGGUUUGAAAGGCGCUUAUGGUGUCACUGAUAGAUGGACCCGCGGUGCAUUAGCUAGUCGGUGGGGUAACGGCCUACCGAGGCGAUGAUGCAUAGCCGACCUGAGAGGGUGAUCGGCCACAUUGGGACUGAGAUACGGCCCAAACUCCUACGGGAGGCAGCAGUAGGGAAUCUUCGGCAAUGGACGCAAGUCUGACCGAGCAACGCCGCGUGAGUGAAGAAGGUUUUCGGAUCGUAAAGCUCUGUUGUUAGAGAAGAACAAGUAAGAUAGUAACUGAUCUUGCCUUGACGGUAUCUAACCAGAAAGCCACGGCUAACUACGUGCCAGCAGCCGCAGUAAUAC
rnacentral:rRNA from 1 species